rnacentral:rRNA from 1 species
CCUACGGGUGGCAGCAGUGGGGAAUAUUGCGCAAUGGGCGAAAGCCUGACGCAGCGACGCCGCGUGAGGGAUGAAGGUCUUCGGAUCGUUAACCUCUGUCAGCAGGGAAGAACGGUCACUGUGCUAAUCAGCAGUGAAUUGACGGUACCUGCAAAGGAAGCACCGGCUAACUCCGUGCCAGCAGCCGCGGUAAUACGGAGGGUGGGAGCGUUAAUCGGAAUUACUGGGCGUAAAGCGCUCGUAGGCGGUAUGUCAAGUCAAGGGUGAAAUGCCCGAGCUCAACGUGGGAAGUGCCGUUGAAACUGGCGAACUUGAGUGUGUGAGAGGAUAGUGGAAUUCGAGGUGUAGGAGUGAAAUCCGUAGAUAUCUGGAGGAACAUCAGUGGCGAAGGCGACUUUCUGGCACAUAACUGACGCUGAGGAGCGAAAGCGUGGGUAGCGAACAGGAUUAGAUACCCCGGUAGUC